GAGCCAAAGGCCAGGAUGAUGAGCAGGUUCCCCAGCACAGUGACCAGGUACAUGGCCAGGAAGAGCGCAAAGAGGAGAGGCUGCUGGUCUGGGUGUGGAGAGAAGCCCAGGAGCAGGAAGUCAGAGUUGCUUGUUUGAUUUCUGAUUCCCAUUGAAAGUAGAAAAAUUUGUGGAAAAUAUUGCUUAAAUACCUGAAGACUCCAAAAAGUUGUAUCAUUCAAAGCCUUUUGUCUGAUUUCAGUGUUUGUUUUGUUUUGUUUCUUUUUCCCAAAGUUAACAGAGAUGCUCUGAUGUCUCUUUCUGGUGGACAUGUAAACAAGUACAGAGAUGAGAACUCAGUACAAUGAUUAGGAGACUUGUUGGGGAUGAACUCUGCAUUUUAGCUGUCCACUAGGUGGUCCUGUAGACUUCCCAGAGGAGGUUGAACUGGGAAGAGGAUUCCUAAGUCUUAGUCCACACCUACCUCUUUAACAGGAAAGCUAGGGAUUUCAUAGGCUUGUGAAGUUUGAAUAAGGUAUCUGUGGGGGUAUGUAUUUACUAGAAAAUUCUUAAGGAUAGUUCUCUCUGUGUGUAUCUCUCUUAUGUGUCUCUGUGUAUGUACGUGUGUGUCAUUCAGAAGUAGAGAAGAAAUGCACAUUACAUAGAAAGGUCAUAGUAGCACUCAGAUAUUCUUUGCAUGGUGGGAUUAUUUGUACACUUUUUCUUUUAAAGAGCCAUCAAAUGAGAAAAUGUGGAUAAAGUUGCUUUAUAAACUCAAAGAUAUUUUAUAAACAAACAUUCCUAUCAUCAUCACCAUCAUCAUCACCAACAUCAUCACCACCAUCAUCAUCAUCAACAUCAUCAUCAUUAUCUUCAUCAUCAUCACCAAUGUCAAAAUUAUCUAAUACUCAGUCCUUAGGAAUGUUGUCUUUGGUGUCUUAUAGACUAGUUGGGAAUCAUUUCUGGUUGUGUUAUCCUCUGCAACAUACACAUCCUCAGGUCCUCUUUUUGCUUCAGUUUCCUCAUCUGUAAAUUGUGUGCCCACUUUGUAUACUUAUCACAGAUAAUGAAUGAAAUGGUAUAUUCAAAGCACUAAUGCAGAGUAGGUCUUCAAUAAAUUGUGAUAAUUGUUAUUAAUAUUGCUAGAAGCAUUAGUAGAUAAAAUGGAACCUGAGCUUCCUGAUUCACCAAAAAGAAAAACACCCUUUCUUUUUAUGUUUUGGGUAGAUCUUUUUUUAUUAUCUCUUCAUCCUCAUCUAGAAGACGUGGACAUAAACUUACCAUGUAGAAAAGUUGAAAGUUAUCAAAAUGCCAGCAUCAGUUAAAAGAUUUAUUCAGGACCAUAUAAAAUCCAAAAUGAGAGUUUCUGCAUUUGUAUGCAUGGCAAGAUGUGUACACCAACAGGCAGUGCCAGCCAGGUUCAUGCCAUGAUCUUUGACCAUGGUGAUAAAAUACAUCCUUCUGGGUCUGACUGACCUGCAUCUGCCACCAACCCCUUUGUGAAUUGUAACCUUGAGCAAGUUUUAGCAGUCUUUCUGACCUCAAUUUCUGCAUCUGCUCAAAGAGAAUAAUUAACAGAACAAUCAUAUAAUCCAGCAUUCCCACUCCUAGGCAUCUAUUGGGACAAAACUUUCAUUCGAAAAGACACAUGCACCACUAUAGUCAUUGCAGCAAUAUUCACAAGAGCCAAGACAUGGAAAAAACCUACAUGUCCAUUGACAGAUGAAUGGAUACAAAAUAUAUGGCACAUAAACAUGAUGGAAUACUACUCAGCCAUAAAAAAGAACAAAUCAAUGUCAUUUGUAGCAACAUGGAUGCAACUAGAGAUUCUCAUAAAAAUGAUAGAAAGACAAUUCUGUAUGAUAUCACUUAUGUGGAAUCUAAAAUAUGGCAAAAAUGAUCCUAUCUAAAAAACAGGAACAGAUAACAGACAUGGAGUGCAGACCUGUGGUUGCCAGGGGGAAGGGGGGAGAAAUUAGGAUAGAUGGGGAGUUUGGGGUUGGUAAAUGCAAACUAUUAUAUUUAGAAUGGGUAAGCAAUGAGGUCCUACUGUACAUCAGAGGGAACUAUAUCCAAUCUCUUGGGGUGGAACAUGAUAGAAAAUAGUAUGAGAAAAAAAGGUAUGUAUAUAUGUAUGUAUGAUUAGGUCACUCUGAUGUGCAGUAGAAAUUGAAACAACAAUGCAAAUCAACUGAACUCUAAAAAAUCAAUACUUAACUCAUGAUCUUGUAAGGACUGAAACAGAUAAGGAUUGUAUAGAACUGGAAUGACUACCAGUUUCUAUCAAAUGGUCAUUAAAUCCUAGAUUUCCCUGGUGUUAUUGUUUUUUCUCUCUCUUUUUUUCUCUUGAUGAACUUAACAAAAUGAUGAUGCUUUCUGGGGUAACCAACUAGUCCUCUAUGUUUACCUAGGACUGUCCCGCUUUCAAAAUGGAAUGUCCUACUUCCAGGAAAAUUUCUCAGUCCUGAGAAAUUUGGACUUUUCCUCAGUCAUGGUCUGUGUGUGGGAAGUUGGGCUUUCAAAACUGUAAGGUUAUAGAAUUACAGACACUAAAUUUUCAAGUUAUAGAAUUGUAAUAACUAUUGUCACCAGUGUCAUCAUUGUAAGCUUUGUGUGGCAAUGGCUCUAACCUAGUGGUAACAAUGACAAAGCAUCCACUUUGACAUGUGAGACCUAGGUGUGAGUUCUACCUGUAUCAUCUUGGUCAAAGCACUUGACUUAACAGAACCCCAGUUGUAAAAUGAGUCUAAAUAAAUCUAGCUCAAAUCAUUCUGAGACUCCAGUUAAUAAAGGUGAUAUUUAUGACUGGGUCACUUUGCUGUACAGUAGAAAUUGAUAGAACAAUGUAAAACAAUUAUAAGAGAAAAA
rnacentral:lncRNA from 1 species